UUCAUGCUCAGAAGAGGAAGGUAAAGGGAAGGGGGACGUGCAUGUAGCUCAUUUCGCUCUCCGGACGGAAGGAGAUGGACACCUGAACGGGACAUAUGGGUGUAGAAGCGGAGGGUUAGGCAGAGAUGCUGAAUGGAUGGGGCCGUUGCGACGUCACGCGGAGCCCCAGCCGCGCAGCGCACGAGCCAACACAAGACGACAUUGGGAAGCGCGAGGCGUUCUCAACCGCAGAGCCGUCCGUGCUGCUGAGAAACCCAAUCUUCACGAUAUAGUCUGAAGGACACGAGCCCAUGAUAGAGGUCUGAAUUCGAGUUUCUCAUUUCCCUCCCUGGCUGGAAGAGAUGGUUGGCCGAAGGGGUUGGCUGUUAUCUUUGGUUAUCUAGCUGUAUGAGUGAUGUACGUUCUUCAUAAAGCUAGAUAACCGAAAGUAACAAGAAUCCCAUUACACACCUGAAAGGCCACACCCAUCCAACACUCCACAACCCACCCCCUGCUUUCUCUUCUCACAAGACCAACGACAUGAAAUGGCAAACAGGAGAAGCAGAAUCGAUUUUUCCCAGCCUUGAUUCUCAGAUGGUUGAGUCUGAUUUGCAUGCAUUUGCAUAAUGAAAGUCAUUUGCAUGCUCCGGGGCAGACUGUACCAUGUGAACAGACAUUAAAAGACGUCCAAUCUCUGUGUCGAAAAGAUGCCAGCGAAAGGGAAGGAAAACAUGGAGGAUGUUAAGGAGGAGGGGCGGGUUGAUGUUGAGACUCUCUGUGCCCCAGUAUGCAUUGCUGCUCUCAGCCCCUCCUCUCGCUGCCUGCCUGCCCCUUCCUCUUGUGACGAGCGGCAAUCCACGCUUCACCACCAUCUUAGAGAGCGCUGGCAUGAAAUGGAAGAGGGAGGAAGAAUGAGCAGGUGAAGAAUAAAAGAGGAUUUUUAUAAAUGACACCUGAUCAUGGAUGACAAAUCAGUGCCUGCUGAUGAAAUGUCUGCACCAUUUCAUUGUGUGCCCCAACAUUAUAACAUUGAAGCACUUUAAAUGCCUCUUUAUUUCUUUUGCACAUUUUGUCAUUUUAUGUUUAAAAAUGUUUUAAUUGUUUAAUUUUUUUCUGUUUUUUAAAGGAAAUUAUCUAUUAUAAUUUAGAAUCUAUUAUAAUCUGACAUCUGACAUUAGCUGUGCAUACUCUACCUGGAUGUGUAAUUGAAAUUGCUUUCAAACAUAUAAUCUCAGACUACAGGGUAUCUCAAAUGUCUCCAUACAUAGGGGACUAAGCACCACGUCGGUUGUGCCUUCGUCAGUGGAUGUUAGUGGACGUCCACUUCUCGGUUGGUCCGCAACACUUCCAGUCUUUUUGAAUUUGUUAGGAAGUUUGGCGAUUUGUUAGAAAGUUUAGUGUUGUGUGUGAUGUGCUUGCCGUGUUUCCUGUUAAAGUCCAUCGUAACCUUGCGACAGCUUCCCGAUCCAGCCAUGAGAAUGAUUUCAAUAUGUUCUUCUUUUGUCAAAGGCGUUCUUAAAGGCUAUCUGAAAAAAAAUAUAUAAUAUAAACUACGUAUGAAAAAUUUUGGAAGACAUUUUGGUAAAAGAUGUUAAUUUUCCCUAUGUAUGGAGACUUUUGGGACACCCUGUAGUUUGCUACAAACGAAAUGCUAUUUUUUUUAACUAUAUUAAUAUCCUACAGAGGCCAACCAUUAAAUACAUUUAAAGUGUUAUGUAUGUAUGUAUGUAUGUAUGUAUGUAGGUAUGUAUGUAUGUAUCUAUGUGUAUGUAACCCUGGUCAAACUGAUAGAUAGCUUACUAGCACUUGUAUUUACUGUCUUGUAUUUAAUGUCACAGGCAAGGCUUGAGAGCAUCUGCUAUGAUAAAAAUGACACUGUUUAAUCUGAUUGUAAUGUUAUAUUCAAAAUGAGUAGCUGAAUAUUAGUUUCUGCAAAGUGUAGUCUGCUGAACUAGUGGUGUAGACAUCAUGAAUGUGAGACCCACGGCAGCAGUGAAGGGUUACUGCACUGUGACUGAACAGCUCUGUGUGUUGAUAUUUACACACCUGGUAUAGAGAGAGCUGUUGUCUUUAUUCUCUAUGCAAUUGAGUUGGUCAUGCAAUCAUUACUGACCAGUGUAGGACCUGUCCUGAGCAGAUGGAACCUCCUUUAUUCAAGUUUGAAAAUAAUAGCUUAAAUAUGUUAUAAAAAAUACUGGUGUACUAUUAAGGAAAACACUAUACAAUACUUUACAUGGUCUGUGCUAUUUUGUUUUAUUUUAUUUUGUCUGUGCAGUCUGAUUGAAACUGCAGCCAUAAGAAAUAAAUGAUAAUAAUUGUUAAAAAAUCAUGUGAAAUACUACUACUACUACUUAUUAUUAUUAUUAUUAUUAUUAGUAGUAGUAGUAGUAGUAGUAGUUUUUAAUAAUCCUCAUCCCUGAUCUGCUAUUUUGUUUAAACAUUGUAAAGUAUUAUUUAGAGUACAUAAUAUUAUAAUUAAAUUUGGGCAGAGGCAAACAUAUAAUUUUGAUCUAUGCAAAUAUAUUAGUAUUUGAUAAUAAGAUUGUGCAAUCGAUUUUGAGACCCACUUUUGUUACCAUGGACGGUGAUGUCCUUAAAGCUUUUGAAGGCAAUCAGAAAGCAAGUAAUUUUUAUUUUAAAUAUAAAUGUAAAAGAAAUGUGAGUACUAUGAUUAAAAAUCAUUUACUAUGCAAUUUAUUGUGAAUCACAAUGGUGAGUGUGUGUCUAAAUGUUACGUUUCCUGGUGUGAGAUUUCUGACAUUUUUAGAUGUAGGCAACUUGUCUGUUAACUCUAACAUGAUUAACUUUAUUUUUAGACCAUUUGUGGCAUUGAACUAAUUUGUCCUGUAAUGGAUCUAAUAAAAGAUUACAUUGAAAACAAA